ACGAACGCUGGCGGCAUGCCUCACACAUGCAAGUCGAACGAGACCUUCGGGUCUAGUGGCGCACGGGUGCGUAACGCGUGGGAACCUGCCCUUAGGUUCGGAAUAACUCCCCGAAAGGGGUGCUAAUACCGGAUAAUGUCUUCGGACCAAAGAUUUAUCGCCUUUGGAUGGGCCCGCGUUGGAUUAGCUAGUUGGUAGGGUAAAAGCCUACCAAGGCGACGAUCCAUAGCUGGUCUGAGAGGAUGAUCAGCCACACUGGGACUGAGGCACGGCCCAGACUCCUACGGGAGGCAGCAGUGGGGAAUAUUGGACAAUGGGCGAAAGCCUGAUCCAGCAAUGCCGCGUGAGUGAUGAAGGCCUUAGGGUUGUAAAGCUCUUUUACCCGGGAUGAUAAUGACAGUACCGGGAGAAUAAGCUCCGGCUAACUCCGUG
rnacentral:rRNA from 1 species